GUGCUGGUCACAUAUUUUGUAGAACGCCCCUCUGUGGAAAUUUGCCUGAUUAUUUUCUCACAGUUAGACCGAGGUUGUGAGUUUCAGGAGGAAGAGGACACAGUCCCAGAAUCAGCCAUUUCUCCACGGAACCCUGGCUCCUUUUACAGAAGAAUGGGAUUCACAAACCAAGAUAUGUGUGAUCAUUGCUACCAUAGUGUCAUUUCUUUUGGAUCCUCAUAUUCCACCCCCGACCUCCAGCACUUCAUCAAAAUCGCCGUGUCAGUGUUCCUGCCCGUUCC